rnacentral:misc_RNA from 1 species
UUUCCGUAGGUGAACCUGCGGAAGGAUCAUUAAUAAAUGGUCUACGUUUUUAAGUAGACGCUUAAUAAUCCUACCCUUUGUGAAUUUGUUUGUUUGAAAUAAUUUUUUUUAAAUUAUUGAAUGUCUUUCCCUGUUGAAUUGGUUGUCUUUAAUGGCAAGUGAUUCGCAGGGGAGUGUCAAUAAUUUUAAAAAGACCUUUUUUAAAAUUAAACUUUUUGUAUUCAUUUGUCUAAAAAUUAUUUUUAUAAUAUAAAAACAACUUUUGACAAUGGAUCUCUUGGUUCUCGCAACGAUGAAGAACGCAGCAAAAUGCGAUAAGUAGUGUGAAUUGCAGAAUACGUGAAUCAUCGAAUCUUCGAACGCAUAUUGCACUUUUUUAGUUUACUAAAAAAGUAUGUCUGUUUGAGUAUCAGUAAAAUAUUCUCAUAAAAACUUUUUGUUUUUAUGGUUAUGAGUGUUUUACAACGAUACAAGUUGUUUCACUUUAAAUUUUUUUAAAAUUUGAAUUUUUCUAAUUUUAAAAUAAAAUUGGAUAAAAUUUUCCCGUAAAAAGGAAUAACCUAAACAGUUUUAAUUUUGAUUAGAAAAUCCAAACUAAAAGGAAAAUUUAACUAAAUAACUUGAUCUCAAAUCAGAUAAGAGUACCCGCUGAACUUAAGCAUAUCAAUAAGCGGAGGAAAAGAAACUAACAAGGAUUCCCUUAGUAACGGCGAGUGAAGCGGGAAGAGCUCAAAUUUGAAAUCUUCAAGGUUUUACCUUGACGAAUUGUAGUUUAAAGAAGUGUUUUCUGUUGAAGUUUUGGUAAAAGUUCUUUGGAAUAGGACAUCAUAGAGGGUGAGAAUCCCGUAUUUGACCAUUAUUUUCAGCUGUGUGAUACACUUUCAAAGGGUCGGAUUGUUUGGGAAUGCAGUCCAAAAUGGGUGGUAAAUUUCAUCUAAAGCUAAAUAUUGGCGAGAGACCGAUAGCGAACAAGUACCGUGAGGGAAAGAUGAAAAGAACUUUGAAAAGAGAGUUAAACAGUACGUGAAAUUGUCAAAAGGGAAGCGUUUGACACCAGUGUUGUUUUCUCGAAAAUCAAUUAAAAAGAGUUGGAUUUUGUGUUGUAUUGACCUUAACAGCUUGCUUCACUCUUUUCCAGCUUUUUUUAAUGCACUUUUCGUUUAACAAGUCAACAUCAGUUUCUUUUGUUGUAAAAGGGUCAUUGGAAGGUGGCUUUCUCUUCGGAGAAAGUGUUUAUAGCCUUUGAUCUCUGCAAUCGGAGAGACUGAGGUCUGCAGCGUAGAUCCUUCGGGGUUAGAUACAUUUAUGCUAAGCUACAGCUUUUCAUAGACAACUUGUUGACUAUGUUUAGUCUUGUGACUUACCCGCUUAUGCUAUUU